UACGGAGGAUCCGAGCGUUAUCCGGAUUUAUUGGGUUUAAAGGGAGCGUAGGUGGAUUGUUAAGUCAGUUGUGAAAGUUUGCGGCUCAACCGUAAAAUUGCAGUUGAAACUGGCAGUCUUGAGUACAGUAGAGGUGGGCGGAAUUCGUGGUGUAGCGGUGGAAUGCUUAGAUAUCACGAAGAACUCCGAUUGCGAAGGCAGCUCACUGGACUGCAACUGACACUGAGGCUCGAAAGUGUGGGUAUCAAACAGG
rnacentral:rRNA from 1 species